UUCACCACUUUUGCUGGUUCCUUCUCUUUUAACAUUUGCCUUCCCCUUUGCUUGGGCAGGGGAAUUCUUCUGGUUUGUUUAAUUCUCUUCCCUUCCUGUGGUCACGUUUCAUUUUCUGGAUCUCAAGCCCUAGCGCAGACUGUUGUGCUGGAGUUUCCAUCAUUGCAGAGAAAUUUGUUUUAAUUCAACAAGAAAACUAUUUUCACUGAAAGUAAAAAAGAAAAAUCACACGAAGAAACCAUGAAAACAUUUUUGUGCACAUUAAUUUGGUUAGAGUCUCCCAAGUUUUCCUGCACUUUUAUAAGAAAUUUGAGAUUUUUGCUUCGAGUUUUUUGAAAGACACGCUGCAAAGCAGAGAAAGCAGACUUAGCAGAGCCCCCAGACUGUCAUGGGCUAUGCUCCCCACUCUCCCAUGAUUUUCCAGCGGUGUUGGGCAUCUGUAUUCCACACCAGGGUGAAAUCCCAGGGGAAGAUGUUGCGGGGUACUGAAAGCAAAUGAACAAAACUGCAAACCCAGUAUACGAUGAGACCAUGGUUUGGUGGCUCUUAUUACUUAAAACUUCACACCCCCAGCACCCAUUGUUCCAGCCUGGGGCAGCCCUGGCAGGGUGGCUGUAAUGGAACCACGCUGAUCGGGACCAGAAGGCAGGUCUCACAAAGCCCUAGAAGUGAUGCGGACACUCAGGCGCUUUGUGUGGAAAGAUUUUGUGUUCCGUGCAGAAGUCAUCGGGUCAUCUAUUUCUAUGAUGAAAGCCUGCUAGUGGGAUGAUAAAGGGUCAGCCAUCCACACUAAAGACUGUGCCCUGGCUGGAGGGGUGAGUUAUCUAAAAGAAACCACCACAGCCCCAGAGUGACUGUUGACAAGGGCUGCUACCCCACAAGGAUACUGUGAUGCCAUGCCUGGCCAUGAGGCAGUGCAGGGUGGUCCUUUGGAAGAAAUGUCAUACAAAAUGAACUCAAAGAUUGCCUACUUGGAACUUCUUCUUUUUUGGAUGGGAUAAGUAUUGCUGGUAUAAAUGCCAAUGGAAAGCCUUGAUAAAGGGUCUUAAACAGCAUAGUGUAGAGACCAUCCAACCAGGUAUGCAUGUAUGUCUAAAUGCCUCAGUUUCCUUAGCCCCGAUUGAACUACUCUUGCCAAAAACUGUGGCAUUUAAAUUUUCCUGUAAUUAUAUGCUUUCUUAAAUACUCCUUUUUCACCAGCUCACUAACUGUCUGAGGUCAUAACCUGCAUGGUUCAGAAUUGCUUGUGUGUUUGUCACUCUCAAGAUGCUGGACUGCAAAAAGUAGGGGGGUUGGGGUGAAGCAGAACAUAUUCAUGCAGACAUCAGUUCAUUUGUAUACAUACAUGUGCCUAUUCCAUACGUGCAAAGAGACCUGAGAUCCCCUGACUCAUUUGUUCACUGGCAUAGCAAGCCGUGAUUCCCCA